UCAGGUCCCUGUUUGGGCGCCACUUGCCGGGGUCCGGCUCCGGGAGGGAGGGUUGAA
rnacentral:miRNA from 1 species